rnacentral:tRNA from 1 species
AAUAAGGUGCCUGAUUAAAGGAUUAUCUUGAUAGGAUAAAUUAUGUAUAAUUUACCCUUAUUAU